GCUGAACAAGGGAUAGCUCAGCUAGCAGAGCAUGAGACCCUUAAUCUUAGGGUCGUGGGUUCGAGCCCCAAGUUUGGCG